GGGUCCGCAGUUCACCCAGGCGUCAUCGUCCCAAGUCGGGAAGCUAAACCUGAUU
rfam:Gluconobacter oxydans H24, complete genome.